rnacentral:rRNA from 1 species
UACGUAGGGUGCGAGCGUUUAAUCGGAAUCACUGGGCGUAAAGCGCACGUAGGCGGAUAUUUAAGUCAGGGGUGAAAUCCCGGGGCUCAACCCCGGAACUGCCUUUGAUACUGGGUAUCUGGAGGUCGAGAGAGGUGAGUGGAAUUCCGAGUGUAGAGGUGAAAUUCGUAGAUAUUCGGAAGAACACCAGUGGCGAAGGCGACUCACUGGACAUGUAUUGACGCUGAGGUACGAAAGCGUGGGGAGCAAACAGG